CGAAAGCGUGGGGAGCAAACAGGAUUAGAUACCCUGGUAGUCCACGCCCUAAACGAUGUCAACUGGUUGUUGGGAAGGUUCCUUCUCAGUAACGUAGCUAACGCGUGAAGUUGACCGCCUGGGGUGUACGGCCGCAAGGUUGGAAACUCAAAGGAAUUGACGGGGACCCGCACAAGCGGUGGAUGAUGUGGUUUAAUUCGAUGCAACGCGAAAAACCUUACCUACCCUUGACAUGGCAGGAAUCUCGCAGAGAUGUGAGAGUGCUCGAAAGAGAACCUGCACACAGGUGCUGCAUGGCCGCCGUCAGCUCGUGUCGUGAGAUGUUGGGUUAAGUCCCGCAACGAGCGCAACCCUUGUCAUUAGUUGCUACGA
rnacentral:rRNA from 1 species